GGUUGCGGGGCGCGGGACCUGGACUCGUCUCACACUCUCCGCGCGGCCUGCGUCGGGGAGGGACCCGGAGUGACCCUGAGAAACCCGCCCCGCGGACGCCCGGGUUGCUGGGUGUCUCGCGCCGGCUUGCAGGGUCCCCAACGGGCUGGGGUCAGCCCUGCGGAGACCCGGGCCUUGGCUCCCGGGGCUGGCCCUGGGCGUCAGGGGAGACAUCCUGCGAGUGGGGUUUGGGAGCAGCUCACGGGAGCCCUCGCCCCACCGCGGGCAACCCUUGAUGGGCGGCCCCCCAGUCCGCAUUUGGUGUCCGAGCGGGCGCCCCAAGCGGCACAACGGGAAAGGGAGGCGGGGAAAGUGGGCUUAGCAGACCGGUGGACCUCCGGCGCAGAACAGGGACGUGGAGCCGUGAGCGAGGUGUGGGAGCGCGGCCCCAGCCUCCUUCCCCUCGCGGCACCUGUGGCCCCGUUGCCUUACUUGCAAAUAGUUUGUCUCAGUCGUUUCCGUUCUUGCCCUCCCUCAGGAAUACGCAUCUUAAGCGCGUAGAGGGCAGAGAAUUAAAUUAGGUGGCGCGAGUUUGCCCGGAUCCAGCUGCUAACAAGGCUCAGUGCGGAGCUCCUCGGCCAGGCGCCGCCUCGGGAUGCCCUGGGCCUGGAGCUCGGGACAAAAUCUGGGCACCCCAUAGCCAGUUGAUAAUUCAGCAGGCGCCAAGAUUAGCAUUUUGCCUGGAAAACCUCAACGCCACACAGCGUCCCGGAGAAGUGCCUGGCCGGAUGAAAAUGACAAUAGGACAUGAAACACCAUAGGAUAUGAAACAUGAUAAUAUGAUAUGAAAAACUAAAAAUAAUAGCCUGAUUAUCUGAAAAUUGAGCAAUAAAUGUGGUAUGGGAGCUGAGGCAAAAGCCAGUAUUUUUAAGUACUAAGUAUCGUGUAUUAUAUUCCACAGCCAUAACCUGAGUUUCUCUCUCUGUUUUUUCUGUUUUCGUUGUUUGUUUGUGAUAGGGUCUCGUUGCCCGAGCUGGGGUGCAGUGGCACAAUCAUGGUUCAUUGCAGCCUGGAACUCCUGGGCUCCAGUGAUCCUCCUGCCUCCGCCCUGCGGGUAGCUGGGACUACAGGUGCUCACCUCUACACCUGGCUAAUCUUUUUUCUCCCCUCCCCCCACAGAGACAGUCUCCCCUUGUUGCUUAGGGUGAUCUCCAAUUCCUGGGCUCAAAGCACUCCUCCCACCUCCCCUCCCAAAUACAGGUGUAAACCAUCUGGCACGCCCACGUCCCAGGUUUUUCUCUUAAAAUUUAAUAUGGGCCUGGGCGCUGGAUAUUUACACACAGCCAAGGGAAGAAAACAACAGAAAGGACUGAGUGAACUGGGAGAUGUUUGAAAUAGGACCGAAGAGUUUACAUGUACCCUAAAACCUGCUGUUGAAAAUUAGUAAAUAUAAGGUUAUGCUCCUGGAAUGGAUGCAGAAGGAUGCUUUCUUGGCAAUUGCAAAUACUUUCUAAGCAUGAUGCAGCACACAGAUAUACAUGUAUCUGGAAUAAAAAUUACUUGACAGUACUUAACCUAUGUGGGCAGCAUUUCAAUAUUUUUAUUCUAUUCCAUUUUUCCAAAAAUUAUUGUCGUAACUCUAGAAGCUAGUUUUGUGACCCAUCAUUUGAAAAUCACUACUCUAGGGUAAAUACGGAGAAAAAGUUUAUUUUUUUUUUGAGACAGGGGCUCACUGUCAUCCAGGCUGGAGUGCAGUGGCAUAAUCAUGGUUCACUGUAGCCUUAACCUCUUGGGCUCAAGCGAUCCUCAUACCUCAGCCUCCCAAGUAGCUGGGACCACAGGCGUGCCACCACACUCGGGUAGUUUGUUUUUAAUUUUUUAUAGAGACAGGUCUCCCUAUGUUGUCCAGGCGGAGGAGUAAGUUUAUGGAAGAAGGUUUCAGAUCAUUCACUUGAGCA